rnacentral:lncRNA from 1 species
GCAGUUUUAAAGAGUUGUAUGAAUUAUGGAAUUAAGCCAGCAUUAGAGAAAUAACAGAAAAGAAUCUCUAAAAAUGGCAAUUAAGACGGUUAGAGCAGGAGAAACUUUCGUUUUCCUAAAAGAAUGUAAGGUGAAUGGGGUCUUACCUACCUCAAUAUAUAAGAUCAAGCUACCAGUAAAGUUGAAGAGGCUAUUAAUAAGAAUGAAACAAGUCUACCUUAACGUUGCAAUAUCUGAUGCAAAAAGGGUUUUCUACAAGAGGAAGAAGCAGCUGAUGGCAUUGAGGAAAGAUUUGAGGAUGAGGAGGAAUUGGGUUUUCUUGAUUUACUAGAAACCCACACGGGAAGCCUAAAGGAGAAGCUAAGGUGACAGCACUUUAAGACGUUUAGAUGGAUCUUAAAAAACUAGGUGCCAAAAAAAAGAAAAAGGACUUUUCAUAUUGAAGAAGUAUUGACAGUAGUCGGUGAUAUACAGGUACCAGAUUUUGUUACUAAAGUGUUAGUGAAAGGGCCUUACCGAAAUCUUCGCCUCGUAUGCUUUACCGAAAUGUUCAGGAGUGGAAGACGAUAUCCCAAUAAUUGAGACCCUGAUUGAAAAUUAUGAGGAGUUAGACAAGGAAAGUUUAAGGUGGGAGUUUGUGCGCCAGAGGAAUGGGAAGAGGA